GUCACAGACAGCAGUUAGGCGGGCAUGGCACACACCGCCCCGCAUGUCCCCGCAGGACCGGACGGUCUGUUACCGGACCUCCUUUAGUUUUUAACAGAUAAAGUUUAAUAAUGCCAUAUGUGUGUGUUGAGUGUUCCUGCGCGGAGAGGCUGCCGGUGUGCAAAGCGGGACUUUCUGAGGCUGAAAGUUAACGCAGAGCUCCAAACCAGGGCGGAAUGAAGAUUAAGCCAUGCUGAUGUCCUCGGCCCUCAGCUGCUGUGCUCACUCACACCCGGCUGGUUGAGAUGUUCCAGCUCUCCACAUUUCUUCAGGAAGGACCAUAGAACACUCAGCGGAUGUUCCAGCUCUGCACAAUGCUGCAGGAAGGACCAAAGUACAUUCAGCAGAUGUUCCAGCUCUCCACAUUUCUUCAGGAAGGACCAUAGAACACUCAGCGGGUGCGUCCAGGAUCAGCGUUGGACAAACAGCACAGCAGCCAGAGAAAACUGAAGAACGACUGCAAAUCAAACUGGAUUUACUUUAUGUGUUUUGUAUAAUAUUUGUUCAUAUUGUAUAAAACUAAAGCAGGUUUCUUUAAGCAUUCAUGUUGCCUUCUAUUAUCAUUUGUCAUUGAUAUGGAAAAUAAUCAAAAUGGGGCCAAAUGUCUAGAUGAGUCACUUUUUGUCCUUAGGUUCUACAGCUGGACUUAAAAAUAAAGUAAAUCAGAUGUUCUAGCUUUCA